UCCGGUUUGUCACCGGCAGUCCCCUUAGAGUGACCAACUGAAUGGUGGCAACUAAGGGCAAGGGUUGCGCUCGUUGCGGGACUUAACCCAACAUCUCACGGCACGAGCUGACGACAGCCAUGCAGCACCUGAGCAGGAUGGUAUUGCUACCUCGUUGGGCUUUCACCCUUCUACUACCUGCAUGUCCAGCCUGGGUAAGGUUCUUCGCGUUGCGUCGAAUUAAACCACAUGCUCCACCGCCUGUGCGGGCCCCCGUCAAUUCCUUUGAGUUUCAACCUUGCGGCCGUACUUCCCAGGCGGAAUACUUAAUGCUUUCGCUCAGACACACACAGUUUAUCGCGUAUGUCGAGUAUCCAUAGUUUAGGGCGUGGACUAC
rnacentral:misc_RNA from 1 species